rnacentral:lncRNA from 1 species
AAUUCGUUAGGUCAUAUUCGUGAAAAAGGAAUGGGACUGUAGUUACGACAUAAUGAACAUAUCCGAUAUCAUCUGUAUAACGGAUAUUCCAUAUUGGUCAACCAACUCAUGAUGGCUUCCGUAAAAUUUAAGAAGUGGUGAUUUAAACUUCACCAUUUGGAACUCUUGGUUUAAAAUUGAAAAAGGUCACAAAUUUCUCCUUGCUUUAUAUUUAACACUUCUCUCAACAAGCCAAAAUUGUAAUGAUUUACAAUAAAGAGAAACUACCAUCCUCCACACACAUGGCCAA